CUUAACUUCGGGAUUGCCAUUGAAACUGUCACUCUUGAGUACAGUCGGAGACGGCGGAAUGAGUUAUGUAGCGGUGAAAUGCAUAGAUAUAACUCAGAACACCGAUCGCGAAGGCAGCUGUCUAGGCUGAGACUGACGCUGAGGCACGAAAGCGUGGGGAGCAAACAGGAUUAGAUACCCUGGUAGUCCACGCUGUAAACUAUGAUCACUCGCUGUUGGCGAUAUACAGUCAGCGGCUGAGCGAAAGCAUUAAGUGAUCCACCUGGGGAGUACGUCGGCAACGAUGAAAUUCAAAGGAAUUGACGGGGGCCCGCACAAGCGGAGGAACAUGUGGUUUAAUUCGAUGAUACGCGAGGAACCUUACCUGGGCUUAAAUGUAGGGUGCAUGGAGGGGAAACCUUCCUUACCUUCGGGACUC
rnacentral:rRNA from 1 species